UAUAUAUUCAUCAAUCAUUCGGAGUACAACAAAGAAGAGCCAAUUACAUUCUCUUUGUGGAGGAAAUUUUUAAACCAUAACGCAGACAGCUUAGGAUAUCUUUUCAAUCCAUUUUCAUAAUCGAUAUAAUUGAUGCCAAACCGAACAGUAUAACCAAGUUCCCACUCGAAGUCAUCCAGAAAUGACCAUACAUAGUACCCUCUUACGUCAACUCCAUCCUUGAUAGCUGCUAGGAGAUAUGAUAAAUGGUGAGAAUGGUAUUUUAUCCUUAUAGUAUCAUUUAGGGCAUCACUGAGGGGAAUCGAGACAUUAUUUGGAUCAGCCACCCCAUUCUCAGUGAUAAUAAUGGGAAGUUUGUUAUAUACUUUCUUUACAUAUAGCAUAAAUUCUCCAAUUCCCCUCGGAUAAAUGUAAAGCCAAGUAGGAAAUGCCGGCUCACCGAUUGGAAUUCCAUUUUUCUCCGUUGUUAGAUUAACACGGCUAUCUGUAGUAUAACUUAGGUACAUGCUGCUAUAGGAUGUAACUUUUUCUGCAUAUCUUGCAGUAUAAUAAUUCACUCCAACAAAAUCAAGAGACCCUUUAACCAUCUUGGCUUGUGCUUCUGUAAAAUUAGGCAAUCGUGUCCCCACCAAGUAUCUCAUGGUCUCAGGGUAGUCACCAUAUACCAUUGGAUGCACAACCCAACCAAAUGAAAAAUCCAGGGCUCUAGAGGCGGCCUUUAUGCAAGAAACUGUGGGGUAUUUGGGCACCAUCCAUCUGACUGAUACUGUAAUCCCAACUUUUCCCUUUUGAGAAGGCUUGUAUUUCUCCCUGUAUAAAUUUACAGCAGUUGCAUGAGAAAGAAUGAUGUUAUGAACCACCACGUAUGGCUCCGUCGCGGAGUUCCCCACCGUGCAAUUUCCAAUAUAGCUAGAACAUCGACCGGGGGCAUCAAUGCCAAUUGCAUACCCUUUAAGAGCAAAUACGUCGGGCUCAUUCAAAGUGAUCCAAGACUUCACCCUGUCGCCGAAUUCUUUAAAGCAAAAAUCCACAUAGUCACGAUAAUCAUCCACAAUAUUAGAGCUUAGGAAUCCACCAUACUCAUCUUCAAGGGAUUGAGGAACAUCCCAAUGGAAUAAAGUCACUAAUGGCUGUAUAUCAUUUGAUAUGAGCUCAUCAAUGAGAGAAUUGUAGAAAUCAACGCCUCUCUGAUUCACUCCUCCACCGAUUUUUCCCUUAGGUAAUAUUCUAGACCAUGAGAAGGAGAAUCUGAAGGAGUCUAACCCCAUUUCUUUCAACCUAGCAAUGUCCUCCUUAAAAAGAUAAUAAAAUUCUUCUGCUACAUUUCCAGUACUAUGGUCUGCAAUUUUACCUGGAAAAUCCCUGACGAAAGUGUCCCAUAUGCUUGGUCCUCUUCCAUCUACUUGCGUUGCUCCUUCAUACUGGUAAGCACUUGAGGAUGCUCCAAAUAUAAAGCCGGCAGGAAAAUUGCUCCGGUUGAUCGGAGUUGUGAAAUGUGAUGAACUCAAACAUCCAAUGUGAGUCAACAAAUUGGUGAAGACAAAGAGAUGGACAAAAAAGAAUUGAGUAUUCAUAUCAG
rnacentral:misc_RNA from 1 species